rnacentral:lncRNA from 1 species
GUUGCCUUCCGUCUUGGUCUUUGCGAAGUACAUGCCGUCUUUAGUAAGUAGUUUGGCAACUCCAUGAUUAACGCCAUGACAUGACUGGAGGAUCUGUGAUGAUCAGAGGAGAAGUUGUGAGAAGAUUGUGUUUGGAUGAUUGAAUAGAUAUGGAAGAACCAAGAUGAUGAAAUUCAAGAGAAUUAGAGGAAGAAAAGAAAUGGCAGAAAUCCUGAGAAUGGAGAUGGAAAAUCAGAGGAACGACACGAUUUCAAAAGAUUCAUUAUUCUAUUUGAAAAAAAUUAGAAAU